UGAGGAAUAUUGGACAAUGGGGGAAACCCUGAUCCAGCCAUGCCGCGUGAGUGAAGAAGGCCUUCGGGUUGUAAAGCUCUUUUAGAUGUGAAGAUAAUGACGGUAGCAUCAGAAAAAGCCCCGGCUAAAUUCGUGCCAGCAGCCGCGGUAAUACGAAUGGGGCAAGCGUUGUUCGGAAUAACUGGGCUUAAAGCGUGCGUAGGCGGCUAUGAAAGUCAGAAGUGAAAUCCCCGGGCUUAACCCGGGAAUUGCUUUUGAAACUCCAUAGCUAGAAUCCGGGAGAGGUUAGCAGAAUUCUCAGUGUAGAGGUGAAAUUCGCAGAUAUUGAGAGGAAUACCAGUGGCGAAGGCGGCUAACUGGACCGGUAUUGACGCUGAGGUACGAAAGCGUGGGUAGCAAACAGG
rnacentral:rRNA from 1 species